rnacentral:rRNA from 1 species
UACGUAGGGUGCGAGCGUUGUCCGGAAUUAUUGGGCGUAAAGAGCUUGUAGGCGGUCUGUCGCGUCUGCUGUGAAAAUCCGGGGCUCAGCCCCGGACUUGCAGUGGGUACGGGCAGACUAGAGUGUGGUAGGGGAGACUGGAAUUCCUGGUGUAGCGGUGAAAUGCGCAGAUAUCAGGAGGAACACCGAUGGCGAAGGCAGGUCUCUGGGCCACUACUGACGCUGAGAAGCGAAAGCAUGGGGAGCGAACAGG